rnacentral:tRNA from 1 species
AAGAAAGUGUCAGAGCGGUUAUGUGACUGGCUUGAAACCAGUUUACGGGGGUUCAACUCCCUCCUUUCUCG